GCACAUACCUGGCCGGGGAGAUGCCAUGAUCAGGAAGGCUUAACCAUUGCACUCGGGAUGUGCUGACCCCUGGGAUUUCCCCAAAUGUGGGAAACAAGACUGCAUCAUUUGUGGUCGUGGGGGACUGCGUUGGCGCUCUCCCCUU
rnacentral:snRNA from 1 species